UACGAAGGGGGCUAGCGUUGUUCGGAAUCACUGGGCGUAAAGGGCGCGUAGGCGGCUCUUCAAGUCGGGGGUGAAGGCCUGUGGCUCAACCACAGAAUUGCCUUCGAUACUGUUAGGCUUGAGACCGGAAGAGGUGAGUGGAACUGCGAGUGUAGAGGUGAAAUUCGUAGAUAUUCGCAAGAACACCAGUGGCGAAGGCGGCUCACUGGUCCGGUUCUGACGCUGAGGCGCGAAAGCGUGGGGAGCAAACAGG
rnacentral:rRNA from 1 species